AUGUCUACAUCAGAGGGUUCAGAGAGUGUUGAUUCCAUGGAUGAGAAUAUGAGUCAAGUACCACAUGCUAGAAGGUCCAAGGUAUGGGAGCAUUAUGAAGUAGAUCUGGUUCUCGUAGAUGGUGAUCUCAAGGCAGUGUGCAAAUACUGUGGAGCGCAACUUCACACCAAGUUUGGGACUAGCAGAUUGAGGACCCAUAUUGCAGAGGCUUGCCGAUCAAUUUAG
rnacentral:rRNA from 1 species